rnacentral:rRNA from 1 species
AACGAACGCUGGCGGCAUGCCUAACAUAUGCAAGUCGAACGAGACCUUCGGGUCUAGUGGCGCACGGGUGCGUAACGCGUGGGAAUCUGCCCUUGGGUUCGGAAUAACAGUUGGAAACGACUGCUAAUACCGGAUGAUGACGUAAGUCCAAAGAUUUAUCGCCCAAGGAUGAGCCCGCGUAGGAUUAGCUAGUUGGUGAGGUAAAGGCUCACCAAGGCGACGAUCCUUAGCUGGUCUGAGAGGAUGAUCAGCCACACUGGGACUGAGACACGGCCCAGACUCCUACGGGAGGCAGCAGUGGGGAAUAUUGGACAAUGGGCGAAAGCCUGAUCCAGCAAUGCCGCGUGAGUGAUGAAGGCCUUAGGGUUGUAAAGCUCUUUUACCCGGGAUGAUAAUGACAGUACCGGGAGAAUAAGCUCCGGCUAACUCCGUG